AUGAUUCCCCUUGAAGGCCAAAGCUUUGCAUGGUAUUGUUCUUGAUUCCUCCAGAAUUAUUGCUUCCGGCUGGGACGUGUUUCCGUGGUGGGGGAGGUUCCCAAGUCGUCCUAUCAUUGAUCAAGUUUUCGUUUCCCGCUCUCCGUGGGAUUUCUGGCGACUCUGCAACGACCGGCAUCGGACCCUUCCUCAGAUUCUUUGUCUGCUUCACACUUUUCCAAUUGACAUUAAUAUCCUUAUUGUGGGUCUCAACCGCCAAUGAUGUGUUUGGUUUCCCUAGUCGUGUGUCUCACUUGUGCUCUUCUAUUCUUCUGCCGGUGGUCCUGGAGGUGGCCCCUAUAUGCGCCUUUUCCGUGUUCUCGUUGUUCUCAACCAUUGGUAUUCUGUACACACCCCUUUUCUCAUCUUGUCGUGGCGGAUCCUUCUCAUUACGCAGGACUUCGGGUGCUGUUGGGUUCCUUUGAAAUGCCACUUUUUUGCCACUUUUCUCUGCUGUUCUGUGUACAACAUUGAGGUUGCUGGGGUGGUAUGGAGCCGGCAGGUGGUUGUCAUCUGGAUUCUCUCUCUCCCGUCCUUCUCUCAAAUUCCUCUU
rnacentral:lncRNA from 1 species